AACGAACGCUGGCGGCAGGCUUAACACAUGCAAGUCGAGCGCCCCGCAAGGGGAGCGGCAGACGGGCGAGUAACGCGUGGGAAUCUACCUUUUGCUACGGAAUAACGCAGGGAAACUUGUGCUAAUACCGUAUGUGUCCUUCGGGAGAAAGAUUUAUCGGCAAGAGAUGAGCCCGCGUUGGAUUAGCUAGUUGGUGGGGUAAAGGCCUACCAAGGCGACGAUCCAUAGCUGGUCUGAGAGGAUGAUCAGCCACAUUGGGACUGAGACACGGCCCAAACUCCUACGGGAGGCAGCAGUGGGGAAUAUUGGACAAUGGGCGCAAGCCUGAUCCAGCCAUGCCGCGUGAGUGAUGAAGGCCCUAGGGUUGUAAAGCUCUUUCACCGGAGAAGAUAAUGACGGUAUCCGGAGAAGAAGCCCCGGCUAACUUCGUGCCAGCCGCCGCGGUAA
rnacentral:rRNA from 2 species